AGCCUGAGGUGUGCGCAAGCUUUAGAGUGUCUAACCUACACUUUUCCUAGGGAGCUCGAUUUGAUUCUGGUGGAUGUGCGCCUCGGCGCAGGCAAAAGCCAGACUUAGGGCACCCACCUGCUAUUCGCAGGGUCUAGGCAUGUAAGGCAAACGGCAUUUUGGA
rnacentral:other from 1 species